UGAGAUGUGCUUGGAACAGGGGGCCUAAAGAACUGCUCCUCUGUGCGCAACAUACUCGACAGGGACCAGGGUCAUUGGGGAGUGCAAAACGGGUGGCCUCCCUGUGAGCAAAUGCCCGACUUGU
rnacentral:snoRNA from 1 species